GAAUGUAUUUCUUUAUUGCUUCCUUUUAUGAAUAGUCUGUUUAAUCGAGUUCUAGACAGCGGCGUUUUUCCAGAUUCCUGGAAUGUAGGAUUGAUUGUACCUCUGCAUAAGUCGGGUGAAAGGGGUGAUCCAAACAAUUAUAGAGAUGAUGUCGUGAUUCUUGCCGAUUCUGUUGUCCAGUUACAAUGCAAGAUAGAUACUCUAAAUGAAUAUUGUUUGAAAUGGGGUCUUCAGAUAAAUAUUAGUAAAACUAAAGUAAUGGUUUUAAAAA